UACUGGGACUCUAACCAUAGGCCAUGAAUCUGGUCUUGGGACACUGUCAGGUGGGCAGUUUGACUGGGGCGGUCGCCUCCCAAAAGGUAACGGAGGCGCUCAAAGGUUCUCUCAGUACGGUCGGAAAUCGUACGUAGAGUGUAAAGGCAAAAGAGAGCUUGAUUGCAAGACAUACAGGUCGAGCAAGGAUGAAAAUCGGACUUAGUGAUCCGGUGGUUCUGCGUGGAAGGGCCAUCGCUCAACGGAUAAAAGCUACCCUGGGGAUAACAGGCUUAUCUCCCCCAAGAGUCCACAUCGACGGGGAGGUUUGGCACCUCGAUGUCGGCUCAUCACAUCCUGGGGCUGUAGUAGGUCCCAAGGGUUGGGCUGUUCGCCCAUUAAAGUGGUACGCGAGCUGGGUUCAGAACGUCGUGAGACAGUUCGGUCCCUAUCCGUCGCAGGCGUAGGAAAUUUGAGAAGACCUGUCCUUAGUACGAGAGGACCGGGAUGGACGUACCUCUGGUGUACCAGUUGUUCUGCCAAGGGCAUGGCUGGGUAGCUAUGUACGGAAUGGAUAAGCGCUGAAAGCAUCUAAGCGCGAAGCCAACUUCAAGAUAAGAUUUCCCACCGCAAGGGUAAGACCCCAGAAAGACUAUCUGGUUGAUAGGUCGAAGGUGUAAGUGCAGCAAUGUAUUUAGCUUAUCGAUACUAAUAGGUCGAGGACUUGACCAA
rnacentral:rRNA from 1 species